rnacentral:rRNA from 1 species
UAAUACGGAGGGUGCAAGCGUUAUCCGGAUUCAUUGGGUUUAAAGGGUGCGUAGGCGGGGCGAUAAGUCAGUGGUGAAAUCCUGCAGCCUAACUGUAGAACUGCCAUUGAUACUGUCGUCCUUGAGUGCGCUCGACGUGGGCGGAAUGUGCCGUGUAGCGGUGAAAUGCUUAGAUAUGGCACAGAACACCGAUAGUGAAGACAGCUCACGAGGGCGAAACUGACGCUGAGGCACGAAAGCGUGGGGAUCGAACAGGAUUAGAUACCCUGGUAGUCCACGCCGUAAACGAUGAUCACUCGUGAUUGGCGAUACACGGUCAGUCACCUAGCGAAAGCGUUAAGUGAUCCACCUGGGGAGUACGAUCGCAAGAUUG